CACGGUGGAUGCCCUGGCAGUCAGAGGCGAUGAAGGACGUGCUAAUCUGCGAUAAGCGUCGGUAAGGUGAUAUGAACCGUUAUAACCGGCGAUUUCCGAAUGGGGAAACCCAGUGUGUUUCGACACACUAUCAUUAACUGAAUCCAUAGGUUAAUGAGGCGAACCGGGGGAACUGAAACAUCUAAGUACCCCGAGGAAAA
rnacentral:rRNA from 1 species